AGCUGAACUGCUUGAGCUGUGUGCUGCCCGAGGAGCUGCUGGUGGACAUCCUCAGUGAGAGGCUGCAGCGUAAAGACUGCUCCAAGGGAGUGAUCUUUGAUGGCUUGGAGAGCCUCUUUGCAAGCAGCCUGGAAUCUUCCCUACUCUGCGUACUCAAAGCUGUCAAGAAUCGUUGUCAUAUCUUCAUGGUAAACCUGCAUGAGGAUUAUGAUUCUUGGAAAGCCAGGGAGGAAGCUGAAAGAAAAAGGAAGGAAGCUGAAACCGAGAAGGAAGAAAUGCAGCGGGAAAAAGCUCUGCAGAGGAAAGCAGAACGUAUCUUGCAAAUAGAUGAGGAUGAGUAUGAUGCUCUCCCUAAGGAGAAGAAAGCAGAAGUGGAUAAAAUAAUCCUGGAAAGGAAGCGCAUAC